AUUGAACGCUGGCGGCAGGCUUAACACAUGCAAGUCGAGCGGGGAAAGGUAGCUUGCUACUUGACCUAGCGGCGGACGGGUGAGUAAUGCUUAGGAAUCUGCCUAUUAGUGGGGGACAACAUCUCGAAAGGGAUGCUAAUACCGCAUACGUCCUACGGGAGAAAGCAGGGGACCUUCGGGCCUUGCGCUAAUAGAUGAGCCUAAGUCGGAUUAGCUAGUUGGUGGGGUAAAGGCCUACCAAGGCGACGAUCUGUAGCGGGUCUGAGAGGAUGAUCCGCCACACUGGGACUGAGACACGGCCCAGACUCCUACGGGAGGCAGCAGUGGGGAAUAUUGGACAAUGGGGGGAACCCUGAUCCAGCCAUGCCGCGUGUGUGAAGAAGGCCUUUUGGUUGUAAAGCACUUUAAGCGAGGAGGAGGCUACUGGUAUUAAUACUACCGGAUAGUGGACGUUACUCGCAGAAUAAGCACCGGCUAACUCUGUGCCAGCCGCCGCAGUAACAC
rnacentral:rRNA from 1 species